CAGACUCAUGGCUCAGACAGCUUCUGAACUGACAUUGAUUUCUCACAAAAUAGCUUAAACUUCAGAUUUGAAGGAGAUGACCGUGAUGACCACUUGACUGACAUCGAAAGCGUUUUUGUUUGCUGUCAUGAACUCCGUCAGAAGCCUGUCUUCUCUAACUCUAAUCUGUCUGUGUCUGCAGCUUCUGGGUUCAACUACCUCUGCCAGUACCAGCCUGUGGGGUAAGAAGCUGCCGUUCAAGAGUCGUCCGUGUAUGUGGCAGCUACAACCAGAUGUUGUGGUACCAGCCCUGGAGGAGCUGAGUGUAUGCAUGCUUUUACGUCGUACCUAUGAAACACAAUGGACAGGUUUUGACUACAAAGCACCAGGGGGAAUCCGCACAGAGCUGGGACUCAGGGGCACAAAAACACAGCUGACAGCGUGGCUUUUUGGAGAAGAACACAGCCUGAAGUGGGAUUUGAAAUUACAUGAAUGGUACUCUUUCUGUGUCACCUGGUCCGGCCCAGCUCGCAGGCUGCGGAUCUACAUUAAUGGAACCAGUCAGCUUAAGGCCCCCCUGAGCUCCGUGACCCGACCACUGCAACUGGCCCCAAACGGCACUCUCACUCUGGGGGUGUCUCAUUAUGUAAACACAGAAGGCGAGCUGCAGCCGCAGACUGGGACGAAUCUGCUUGGUGAGAUUGGUCUGUUCAGGAUGUGGGCCAGAGAGUGGAGCGCUGAAGAGCUGAUGGAGCAGAGCUGUGCAGAUGGAGACGUGGUGAGGUGGGACCUGCAGCAGUGGAAACACAACCUCCACUGUCCACCUGAGCCUGACAAUGACCUACGUUGUGCAUGGUCACUCUACAAAAUCAAAAUGUGGACAUUCAUAGUUCCCGCUACGGAGCCUGGAAAAUGUUCAGUGUCACUGGAGGAAGUGACAAGAAACUGGAUGGAAAACAUUUUCCCUCACAACAUUUCCGUCCAUAACAUCCAUGUGUCAUCGCCAAGCCGCUCCUGCCAUGUGGUUAAUAAUUCUGCUGCUCAACCACCUCAGGGAUCAAGAGCAUUGUCAAACUCCACCUGUGACAAGUGUUUCAACUGUGAAGUCUAUGUGAACGUGGAUCCUGCUGCUAACGUAGAAGUGGUUCAGGCGAGAAUCGCCUCGUUGCUGACUUCCACCUUCUCUUACGACUUCCUCAACCUGACAGCUGACCCGAACAGCAUCAGCAUACUACCUGUGGAGUUACUCCCUCCAGUGUCAGAGCCACUGCCAACUGUCAGCACCGGUGCACCUUCAUCAGAAACAGGUCCGACUCAAAGUCAUGUAGCUCGACCCGCUAACAUGUCAACGACAGGAGAUCCUCUAGAAGUCAACGAGACGGCCAUUCGACCAGACACGUUCUUCAGAGUUAAUCUGACCUUAAGUAUGACUGGCAGCCCGACAAAACCAGAGGAGAUUAUUGAGAAAUGGGUGAAAGAACAGCUAGAGGUGAAUCACACCAUGAUUGUGCUGAAUCUUCUCAUAAAGGAGAACGCUGGCAGGAACAUGGAGCAGCACAAUGGACUGAUGAUUUCGCCCAGCCAACAAAAACAAUAUUGCUGCACCUUCCAUGUUCAAGAAUACAAUGUAAACAGUGCGGCAGAAACUCAAACUGUUAUUAAAGCUGCCUUGACAUCAAAGUAUGAAAAUAACUCCAUUAUUAUUCAACCUACGGAGGUGGCGAUCAAGCACAUUGUGCCAGAAAACUGUUUAGAAGAAACUACUUCAACAGUCUAUGGAUUAUACAUUUGGCCUGAAGCAUUUCCACAAGUCAACCAAGAAAUGGGAUGCAGAAAACCCAAAUCAGAGAGAGCCUUCAGGCUUUGUAAGUUAGACAUUGAAACUGACGCGACCAGCUGGGCUAAUCCUGAUAUGAAGAACUGCAAACCGUUUAUAACCAUAUCAGACCUCGACAACAUCACUGUCGCUACCGGUAACGCGGCUGAGGUGGUGGACAUGAUUCAGGACCUUGUGGAUGCUCAGUUAGGUAGCAGUGCAGAGCUAUCUUCCUCCGAGCUGGACACGGUGGUGGAGAAGCUCAGAGAAGUGGUUGAUAUCAGCAGCAUCAAACCUGCUGUUGGUGCCGACAUCGUCAAUAUUGUUGCAGAUAUCCUGAUUUCCAAAACUGACAUCACGCCAGUGGCCAGCAUUGUCCUUAAUCUGACAGAUCAAAUGGGGAACAAUAUGGAUUUCCAAGAUGAAUAUACUGUCAGUAUAACAGCACCCUCUCUGGCCUUGUCCAUGAUCAACGUAGAUAGAAAUGAUUUCAGUGGCCUCACCUUUGGUGUGUCCUCCAUUUCUUCAACCAUGAAUCCAGAGAUUUUUGUCAGCCAGAGCUUUGAGAGUCAACCGUUCCCUGACACCAAUGCAACGAUCUCUUUGCCCUACGAAAUCCACAACUAUUUCCCUCCCGGAGAAAGAAAGAAAACUCGAGUCCAGUUUCAGUUCUAUGGAACAAAUGAACUUUUUCCGGAACCACACUCCAAUGCAACACAGAGCAGCUGGAAAUUGAAUUCCUAUAUAGUAUCUGCCAACAUCAAUAACAGUGAUGUCAGCAACCUAAGGGAUCGAGUGGUGGUGACCCUCAGCCACCACACACCCAAACAGUCAGAAGACAAAGUACAAUGUGCGUUUUGGGAUUUCCAGAAAAACGGUGGGCAGGGUGGUUGGAACAGCAAUGGUUGUGACACCCUGAGUAUUUCUGCGUAUCAGACAAGCUGUCUCUGUGAUCAUCUCACACAUUUCGCUGUACUCCUGGAUGUAUCCAGAACGCCCAUCAGUGAAGCUGACAGCCAGAUUCUGACAAUGAUCUCAUAUCUUGGUUGUGGUAUAUCCUCCAUCUUUCUGGGCAUCACUCUUCUCACCUACCUUGCUUUCGAGAAGCUGCGUCGAGACUACCCAUCUAAAAUACUCAUCAACUUCUCAGCUGCCCUACUGGGGUUGAGCAUGCUCUUCCUGCUGGGCUCCUGGCUCUCGUCCUUCUCCAACUACAGUCUGUGCAUUGCCACCGCUGCAACGAUGCACUACUUCCUGCUGGCCUCUUUCACCUGGAUGGGCCUGGAGGCCGUGCAUAUGUACCUCGCUCUGGUCAAGGUCUUCAACAUCUACGUUCCCUCCUACAUCCUCAAGUUCUGUGCUGUAGGAUGGGGUGUUCCUCUGGUCAUAGUCAGCCUGGUGCUGGCCAUAGAUAAAGAUGCGUACGGCAGCAAUGUGUCUGAAGAGUCGACUCUGGCGUUUCAGUCCGCUGAAUUCUGCUGGAUUCAGAAUGACGUCUUCUUCUACGUAACGGUGGUGGCGUUUAUCCUUCUGAUCCUUCUGUGCAACAUCUUUGUAUUCAUCGUGGUUCUGAUCCAGAUCAGACAAAUGAAGGCCAAUAAACGGUCAACAAACAGCAGCAGUGCUCUUUAUGACUUGAGGGCGGUGGCCAGUCUCACCGUCCUGUUGGGCCUGACGUGGUUAAUGGGCUUUUUUUCAUUUGGGCCGGGCAGAGUGGUCCUGCUGUACCUGUUUACCAUCGCCAACACCUUUCAGGGGUUUUUUGUCUUUUUGUUCCACUGUUUGAUGAAAGAAAAUGUGAGGAAACAGUGGAGAAUCCACUUGUGCUGCGGUCGUUUCAGACUCAGUGAUUACUCAGACUGGAGCCGCACUGUGACAGUGGGCGGUCGCUGCAAAAAGAACCAUCUUGUUAACUCUGACUCAGUCGCUUCUGACAACACUUCCACCAUCAGGAAGGUCUCCGACUCCUCAACAGGAUCAGCACCAAACCACCACCAGGGGGCAUGAGCAGGCCUCUGUAUGUGCCCUUCAGUAUACAGUAGCUCUAUAGCCUUCAAGAUCCACUGUGCAGAAACAAACACUGAUAGCAGAAAAUAGAACAGCUCCAUGUCUGUAAUGGGCAGGGAAAGAUCAACUAAACCACACGUUCAGCAAGAUACAAUGGGUACAUGGACACUCCUGCACAUUAAUUAGCCAUAAUAAUAAUAAUAAUAAUAAUAAUAAUAAUAAUAAGGUUACAGUCAGAACAGUAAGUUCAAAGUAAAGUAAAGGUUACAGUCAGUUCAAAGUACAGUAAAGUGCACAUUGUAUGCAAGCAUACAUGUUUUGUGUUUGUAAAACUUUUAAUAGUAAUGAGUGAAGUAAAUGUUGCACAGGAAGCAGUUAUAAGAGUUUUCCAUUUAAAUGUAAUGUGAAUGUAAUGGAAAGGACAGUAUCUGUAACCAAGAA